rfam:Rattus norvegicus chromosome 13, whole genome shotgun sequence.
GGGGAUUUAGCUCAGUGGUAGAGCGCUUGCCUAGCAAGCACAAGGCUCUGGGUUCGGUCCCCAGCUCUG